rnacentral:rRNA from 1 species
GAGAAGGGCAUUUGGUGGAUGCCUUGGCGUUGAGAGGCGAUGAAGGACGUGGCACGCUGCGAUAAGCUGUGGGGAGGGGUGAGCACCCGUUGAUCCGCAGAUUUCCUAAUGGGGCAACCCGGCCCGCAAGGGUCAUCUCGCAAGAGAGGCGAACCCGGGGAACUGAAACAUCUCAGUACCUGGAGGAAAGGACAUCAACAGAGACUCCGUAAGUAGUGGCGAGCGAAAGCGGACUAGGCCAGUGGCCUCAAGUUAAGAACCGGAACGGUCUGGAAAGGCCGGCCAUAGCGGGUGAUAGCCCCGUACGGGUAGAAAGACUUGAGGUCCUUGAGUAAGGCGGGACACGUGUAAUCCUGUCUGAACAUGGGGGGACCACCCUCCAAGCCUAAGUACUCCUCAACGACCGAUAGCGAACGAGUACCGUGAGGGAAAGGUGAAAAGCACCCCGACGAGGGGAGUGAAACAGACCUGAAACCGGAUGCCUACAAACAGAGGGAGCAGCAAUGUGACCUCGUACCUUUUGUAUAAUGGGUCAGCGAGUUCGUUCGUGCAGCAUGCUUAAGCCGUUAGGCGUAGGCGGAGCGAAAGCGAGUCUGAAUAGGGCGCGAAGUUGCACGGAUGAGACCCGAAACCAAGUGAUCUAGUCAUGAGCAGGCUGAAGGUGCGGUAACACGCACUGGAGGGCCGAACCCACGCCUGUUGAAAAAGUCGGGGAUGACUUGUGACUAGGGGUGAAAGGCCAAUCAAACUUGGAGAUAGCUGGUUCUCCGCGAAAGCUAUUGAGGUAGCGCGGUAGACGAAUUCCUUCGGGGGUAGAGCACUGGAUGGGCUAGGGGGUCUCAACCACUUACCAAACCUAACCAAACUCCGAAUACCGAAGAGAACUAUCUACCAGACAGACGGCGGGUGCUAACGUCCGUCGUCGAGAGGGAAAAAACCCUGAUCGCCGUCUAAGGUCCCCAAGUCAUGGCUAAGUGUGAAAGGAUGUGGAGAUCCCCUGACAACCAGGAUGUUGGCUUAGAAGCAGCCAUCAUUUAAAGAAAGCGUAACAGCUCACUGGUCGAGGGUCUCUGCGCCGAAAAUGUAACGGGGCUGAAGCCAUGCACCGAAGACGCGGGUGUGCAAUUUAUUGCACGCGGUAGCGGAGCGUUCCGUAGGCCUGCGAAGGUGAACCGUGAGGUUUGCUGGAGGUAUCGGAAGUGCGAAUGCUGACAUGAGUAACGACAAAGAGGGUGAAAGACCCUCUCGCCGUAAGCCCAAGGGUUCCUGCGUAAAGUUAAUCUGCGCAGGGUUAGCCGGCCCCUAAGCCGAGGCCGAAAGGCGUAGGCGAUGGGAACCACGUUAAUAUUCGUGGGCCUGGAGAUGAGUGACGGAUCCAAUGUUUUGUUCGCCCUUACUGGAUUGGGCGGGCGGGGCUGCGGGUUCCAGGAAAUAGCCUCUCCAUUAUAGACCGUACCCGAAACCGACACAGGUGGGCUGGUUGAGUAUACUCAGGCGCUUGAGAGAACUGUAUCGAAGGAACUAGGCAAAUUACCCUCGUAACUUCGGGAGAAGAGGGCCCAUUUAGAGCGCAAGCUUUGGGUGGGGGCACAAGCCAGGGGGUGGCGACUGUUUAUUAAAAACACAGGGCUCUGCGAAGCCGUAAGGCGACGUAUAGGGUCUGACGCCUGCCCGGUGCUGGAAGGUUAAGAGGAGAGGUGCAAGCCUUGAAUCGAAGCCCCAGUAAACGGCGGCCGUAACUAUAACGGUCCUAAGGUAGCGAAAUUCCUUGUCGGGUAAGUUCCGACCUGCACGAAUGGCGUAACGACUUCCCCACUGUCUCCGAUACAGACUCAGUGAAAUUGAAUUCCCCGUGAAGAUGCGGGGUUCCCGCGGUUAGACGGAAAGACCCCGUGCACCUUUACUGCAGCUUUGCAUUGGCGUUAGAGACGACAUGUGUAGGAUAGGUGGUAGGCUUUGAAGCUUGGGCGCCAGCUCGAGUGGAGCCAUCCUUGAAAUACCACCCUUGUUUUCUUUGACGUCUAACUGAGCCGUAACAACGGCCAGGACCUUGCAUGGCGGGCAGUUUGACUGGGGCGGUCGCCUCCCAAAGAGUAACGGAGGCGCGCGAUGGUUGGCUCAAUCCGGUCGGAAAUCGGAUUCAAGAGUGCAAUGGCAUAAGCCAGCCUGACUGCGAGAGCGACGGUUCGAGCAGAGACGAAAGUCGGUCAUAGUGAUCCGGUGGUCCCGCGUGGAAGGGCCAUCGCUCAACGGAUAAAAGGUACGCCGGGGAUAACAGGCUGAUGAUGCCCAAGAGUCCAUAUCGACGGCAUCGUUUGGCACCUCGAUGUCGGCUCAUCACAUCCUGGGGCUGGAGCAGGUCCCAAGGGUACGGCUGUUCGCCGUUUAAAGUGGUACGUGAGCUGGGUUUAGAACGUCGUGAGACAGUUCGGUCCCUAUCUGCCGUGGGUGUUCGAGACUUGAGAGGAUUCGUCCCUAGUACGAGAGGACCGGGACGAACGCACCUCUGGUGGACCGGUCGUGGCGCCAGCCGCGCAGCCGGGUAGCUAUGUGCGGACGGGAUAACCGCUGAAAGCAUCUAAGCGGGAAACCCCCCUCAAAACCAGGUCUCGCCAAAGAACCGUGGAAGACCACCACGUUGAUAGGCCGGGUGUGUACAGUCAGCAAUGGCUUCAGCUUACCGGUCCUAAUCGUUCAAGAGA